rnacentral:rRNA from 1 species
UACGUAGGGGGCAAGCGUUAUCCGGAAUCAUUGGGCGUAAAGCGCGUGUAGGCGGUUCCGUAAGUCCGCUCUGAAAGCCCAGGGCUCAACCCUGGGAGGCGGGUGGAUACUACGGAACUGGAGUACGGAAGAGGAGAUUGGAAUUCCUGGUGUAGCGGUGAAAUGCGCAGAUAUCAGGAGGAACACCGGUGGCGAAGGCGGUUCUCUGGGAAUAUCCUGACGCUGAGGAGCGAAAGUGUGGGGAGCGAACAGG